rnacentral:rRNA from 1 species
GCCAUGCCGCAUGAGUGAAGAAGGCCUUUGGGUUGUAAAGCUCUUUUAGCAGAGGAAGAUAAUGACGGUACUCGCAGAAGAAGUCCCGGCUAACUCCGUGCCAGCAGCCGCGGUAAUAC